rnacentral:rRNA from 1 species
UACGUAGGGUGCGAGCGUUAAUCGGAAUGACUGGGCGUAAAGGGUGCGCAGGUGGCUAUGUAAGAUAUAGGUGAAAUCCCCGGGCUUAACCUGGGAAUGGCCUGUGUGACUGCAUAGCUAGAGUGUGUCAGAGGGAGGUAGAAUUCCACGUGUAGCAGUGAAAUGCGUAGAGAUGUGGAGGAAUACCAAUGGCGAAGGCAGCCUCCUGGGAUAACACUGACGCUCAGGCACGAAAGCGUGGGGAGCAAACAGG